GGGGGCGAAAUAGGAUCGACACGCGUGGUAAAGAUAAAGGUUGUGUUCGGCAUGGUAUCCACCGUUAUCGGGCCAACUCUGACAAGUGCCAACGACAACGUUGAACUUGCCGCUGCGGCCUAAACACCCGUAAGCGCGGUUCGGGGGGGCACCGGGCAACAGAAGCCCCCCCA
rnacentral:tmRNA from 2 species